rnacentral:rRNA from 3 species
GCGGAGGGAUCAUUACCGAGUUUACAACUCCCAAACCCCUGUGAACAUACCACUUGUUGCCUCGGCGGAUCAGCCCGCUCCCGGUAAAACGGGACGGCCCGCCAGAGGACCCCUAAACUCUGUUUCUAUAUGUAACUUCUGAGUAAAACCAUAAAUAAAUCAAAACUUUCAACAACGGAUCUCUUGGUUCUGGCAUCGAUGAAGAACGCAGCAAAAUGCGAUAAGUAAUGUGAAUUGCAGAAUUCAGUGAAUCAUCGAAUCUUUGAACGCACAUUGCGCCCGCCAGUAUUCUGGCGGGCAUGCCUGUUCGAGCGUCAUUUCAACCCUCAAGCACAGCUUGGUGUUGGGACUCGCGUUAAUUCGCGUUCCCCAAAUUGAUUGGCGGUCACGUCGAGCUUCCAUAGCGUAGUAGUAAAACCCUCGUUACUGGUAAUCGUCGCGGCCACGCCGUUAAACCCCAACUUCUGAAUGUUGACCUCGGAUCAGGUAGGAAUACCCGCUG